rnacentral:rRNA from 1 species
AUGAACGCUGGCGGCGUGCCUAAUACCUGCAAGUCGAGCGAACGGACGAGAAGCUUGCUUCUCUGAUGUUAGCGGCGGACGGGUGAGUAACACGUGGAUAACCUACCUAUAAGACUGGGAUAACUUCGGGAAACCGGAGCUAAUACCGGAUAAUAUUUUGAACCGCAUGGUUCAAAAGUGAAAGACGGUCUUGCUGUCACUUAUAGAUGGAUCCGCGCUGCAUUAGCUAGUUGGUAAGGUAACGGCUUACCAAGGCAACGAUGCAUAGCCGACCUGAGAGGGUGAUCGGCCACACUGGAACUGAGACACGGUCCAGACUCCUAAGGGAGGCAGCAGUGGGGAAUAUUGCACAAUGGGCGGAAGCCUGAUGCGGCAACGCCGCGUGCGGGAUGACGGCCUUCGGGUUGUAAACCGCUUUCGCCUGUGACGAAGCGUGAGUGACGGUAAUGGGUAAAGAAGCACCGGCUAACUACGUG